rnacentral:snoRNA from 12 species
CCCCUGUGAUGAGUUGCCAUGCUAAUACUGAGACACCAGGUAGGGACUUACCCUAUGUUGGGUGUUGUUGAGAUAAUCUUUACUUCUCAUGAAUCUAUCUGAGGGGC